UCAUGUAUUAUUACUUUGCCAAUGGUUUACCUUAACUGUCUAUUCCUAGAUUGACUUAGUGUUCUACCUUAUUACAACUUAUGGCUUCCAAGAUUACUUCAGUUAAAGGAAGAGGCCUACCGCUAUGACUUCGAUGGGAAUCCUACAGAUUACGAGCUUUGCUUUAAACCUGAAUGGUACCCACUCCAUGUGUUUAGCUAUUGUAAUCUCUGAACAAUGUGUUCAUGUCCGUAUUGUAAUAUAUUUUCCUAUUUUCUCACUUGUGUUUGGCACAUUUCUCUACUUCAUUAUCUGUAAUUACCUCUCUGAUGGUGAAUGGAAUGUUAACCACUCA